AAAUAAGAAGAGCGUGUUAAUAUUUUAUAUUAAUUUUAAAUAAAAAUAAUAUAUGCCUAAUAUAGCUUAGAUAUUCUCCAUUUUGAUAUAACUUUUGAAGUAAACUAGACACAAAUCAUUUUCUUACCAACAUGCUUCAUAACUUCAAUGCUAGUAUUCUCACAAGUUUAAUUCAAUAAAAUUUACUGAAUGGAACCGUCCAUUAAUUUUACGUUUCUUUCCUCACAAAUAUAUCAUUGUUUUCCCUUGAAUUAUCUUCUUAUUCACUUACUUCUUUUAACUUCUAUUUUUCACUUUUUUAUUAAAGUAAAGUUGAUAAAAUCUAGCAAAUAUUUAUAUUUUUAA
rnacentral:misc_RNA from 1 species